AUGGAGCUGCCAUCAAACGCUCAAGCAGCCGCACAACUGGCUGGUCCAGGGGGCCCACCGCAAAACUUGGCUCCCAACCUUGAUUAUGGAGAAUACGACUACACUAUAGAGGAAUUAGAAACAUACGGGGAGUUAGAGACCAGUUUACCACAGAGACUAACGGAGGCCCUCAAUCAACAGCUGCCUGAGAACAAGCUGUUGGAAGAUGUUCCAGAAUAUAUACCAGAACUGAAUAUAAAUGAUGAUGACCUUUUGAAACCAGGUGUUCAUGUUCAACCCACUGAUUCUUUUGUUUAUCAAGAUCCUUUUGAAGUAGCUCAAACAUACUUGGAAAAACAUGGCAUUAUGCAAAUAUUCCAGCGGAUCACUGAAAACUUAAUAUAUGAACAGCCCGAUGACCCUUUGCGCUUUUUGCUGUGGCAGGUAUGCACUAGACCAAAAGGAAAACAGUACUUUAUUUUUAGAUCCAGCUUUACAACCAAAGUCCUUAGAAUUGAGACUUGAUAGUAGAGAAGGGAAGGGGGAGAGAUUUCAUUAAUGGUGUGGAGAUAAUUUUUUAAUUAAGGGUAAAUGUAUUCAGAUGAAAGUAAUAGAAUUGGGAAGACUUAGAGAGGUAACAAAAUGAAAUGAACAAAUUGUAUGGACUAUAGGAAGCACAUUUAUUUGUUGUCUCAAAAAAAAAAAGUACUAACCUGCCUUCAUUGUAGCAUAGUGGAAAGAAUAAUUGAUCCGAAGUCAAGUUGCCUAGGCUCCAGUUUCAGUUCUGUUACACUGAUUAGUUCUGUGACUGAGCAAAUUAACUUUUUUUGAGCUUCAUUUUCCUUAACCGAAAAAUGAAAGGGUUCUACUAAAAUAAUUCUUUGCAGAGAUGGUGACGUUUUGAAGAACAGAUGAUGAGUUCUGUUUUAGAAGUUUUACUCUUGAGGUGAUAGCAGAAUAUCUAUGUGAAAAUUCAGGAAAUUAGUAAUUGCAUUUCUUGAAAGAGAUCAUGCUUGAGGUAUAGCUUUGAUAAUUGUUACACUGAAAGUGGAUAAUGACCUAGGAAAAGAGUGAAGAGUACGCAACAUUUUUGUUGUUCAAUCAUUUCUAUCAUGUCUGACUCUUAAAUGACCCUAUUUGGGGUUUUCCUGGCAAAGACAAUGAAGUAGUUUACCAUUUCCUUCUCCAGCUCAUUUUGCAGAUAAGGAUCUGAUGCAGAUGGGGUUAAGUGACUUGCCUAGGGUCACACAGCUAGUAUGUGUGUCAGAUUUGACCUCUGAGAGAUGGAGCUUCCUGACUUCAUGCCUGGCGCUAUCCAUUUUGCCACCUAGCUGCCCACUGAACUUUGAGUGAUGGUUUAGAGUAGGGAAUAGGACUUGGAGAUAGUAAAGAAACAACUGAAAUGGAGGACAUAUAAAUUCAUGAAAGCCUCCCAGAGAAGAAGAAAGUCUCUAAAAAGUUUAAUGCACAGAGGGCAAAGGUCAAGACAAAGGGCAGAUAUCUGCUAAGAUAAAUAGGAAAGAAGAUGGGAUUAGUGAAGGCACAGAGAUAUUUUGAAAUAAAAGUGAAGAGAAUGAAGGAAAACCCA
ensembl:lncRNA